AUAGAUAAAGGGAAUGAAGUGCUCCCUUCGUACAUACGUAAACCGCUUAUUGCUGAUGACUUCUACAGAUUU
rnacentral:ncRNA from 1 species